AUGAGAAUGAACUGUGGACCUUGUUGUUGCACCAAGUUUUAAGGUAGUCGUGGUGGCAGUGCAACAAGCAGCAUGAGGAUUUCGUGAGGGGUGAGACGACGAGAAGGUGAAAAGGGAUGGAGGCUGGUCUGGCAAUACUCUUUUUAUGUAUUUCAUCCCGUGGUAUUUAAUAGUUGUGAGGUAAGCAUAACCACGUAAGCAUUUCAUUUUACUUUAUUAGUGACAUCCCCAGACAGCUACGGUUCCGAAUCGCUGUUGAGAGCUCACUUUCCUUCAAAUAUGAGCUCCCACAAGGACAAAAAGCAUCCAGCUCAAUUUUUCUUUCAACCCGAGAUUGUUUUGGCUAGGUGAGUGAGUCCAUAACGUAAUAAGCAGCAACACCACGACUCCUUGGGUCAAUCUCGUUCAUGAGUUUAAGAAGUUUAUCUUGAUGGGACGACCAUUAUCCGCUCUUCUGUAAUGUGUGCCGUCCACAGUGAUGGAUCUUUCUGGUGGCGUGGGGUUCUGCUGCCCGUAACGCAAGGUAAAAGGUCCUGGGAAAAUCGCCAUUGCAUUUUUGCCCUCAACCAGACCAGCUAUGUACAUAUACCUUACUAACCAACCAUGCUAUCCACCACUGAUCUUAUUAAUAAUGAGGACCAUUUCCUUGUAUUAACCACUCCAGCCUACAUACAAAAAUAUUAUGGUAGGAUGAGGUCGGGACUUAAGGAGAAGGAGCCUACUACAUAUUUAGGCUGACAUAUCGAAUCUUAUUCACUAACUUGAAGAGUUACGCAAGACAUGUUGGAAUAAACAAUUGAUAGGUU